CAAUAGCGUAUAUUAAAGUUGUUGCGGUUAGAACGCUCGUAGUCGGAUUUCGGGGCGGGCCGACCGGUCUGCCGAUGGGUAUGCACUGGUCGGCGCGUCCUUCCUUCCGGAGACCGUCCCUACUCUUAACUGAGCGGGGGCGGGAGACGGGACUUUUACUUUGAAAAAAUCAGAGUGUUUCAAGCAGGCAGCUCGCUCUUGCAUGGAUUAGCAUGGGAUAAUGAAAUAGGACUUUGGUGCUAUUUUGUUGGUUUCGAACACCGAAGUAAUGAUGAGAAGGGACAGUCAGGGGCACUCGUAUUCCGCCGAGAGAGGUGAAAUUCUCAGACCAGCGGAAGACGAACCACUGCGAAAGCAUUUGCCAGGGAUGUUUUCACUGA
rnacentral:rRNA from 1 species